rnacentral:lncRNA from 1 species
GAAGAGUAUGGAUGUUUGUUCUUUACCAAACAACUUAAUCAUUCAGAAGAGUAAAAUAUAAACAAAAAUUUACAUGAUAUAAUAUAAAGGUACCUUUGGCAACUUGAAAAAGGAGAUCUAAAUGCAUAUGGAAAGAGAAUCAAAGAAGAGGAUGUUUGAAAAAUAGACAAUGCCAGGGUUUCAAGCCUGAGUGAUAAUGGAGAAGUUAUGAGGAGGAGAGGAGCAGGUUUUAGAGAUUUGCUGCCUAGAAGAGUUUUGUGCUUGUCAAGCUUGAGGUAAUCUGUAAGAUACCCACAUAUAGGCUGGGCACUGUGGCUGAUGCCUGUAAUCCAAGCACUUUGGGAGGCUGAGGUGGGUGGAUCAUUUGAGGUCAGGAGUUCGAGACCAGCUUGGCCAACAUAGUGAGACCCCCAUCUCUACUAAAAAUACAAAAAGUAGCCAGGCGUGGUGGCAGGCACCUGUAAUCGCAGCUACUCAAGAGGCCGAGGCAGGAGAAUCACUUAAACCCGAGAGGCGGAGGUUGCACUGAGCCAAGAUCAUGUCAUUGCACUCCAGCCUGAGUGACACAGUGAGACUCCAUCACACCCAAAAAAAGAUACCCACAUAUAAAUAAUCCACAGUAGCUUCUAUUCUGGAGCUAAGAAGAGAAAUUGAGCGUGAACACAUAGCAGUGAUAGUUACUUAAACCUUGUAAAAUGGAUAGAGUUGCCAAGUAGAGGACGGAAAUGAGAAACAAAGACGAUUGGGGUAGGUUUUAUGAACACCUACAUCAGAAAUUAGGCAAAGGAGGAGAACUGGGGAGGAGCAGGUGUUACAGCUGUCAUAAAGCCCAGCGUAGCAACCUACAAAAAGGAGUCUUAGAGAGGGGUGGCAGAAUAUCAACUUAGCAUUAAAACUGCAUACUUAUAAACGCACAUUUUUGUUAUCAUUAGGCUUUGGUUUACUUCUUGAACAAGUUUGAGUCGAUACAGCCUCAUCACCCUUUUAUAUGUCAGCACGUUUUUCUCUAAAAAUCUCUUACAGUACCACUUACGAGUUGUAUUAUCUGGUUGCUUUCUUCUUUUAUAGAUUAUAAAUUUAUUAAGGAAGGGCCCAGAUACACAAGUAGCCCAUAAUUAGUGCUCCGGUUCAAAACAUUCCUGUCAUAGUUCAGUAGUUUAAAAAAAAAAAAAAA